AAUGAAGUUCUUCCUAACCUGCUGCAGAAACUCCAAACAAAGAUGUCCAAGAUCAGGCUUCUCCAGCUUCGGUUUCCACAGCCUUACAGCCCUGCCAGUCGCACAGCACACAAACAGAUGGUUAGACUCAGUCCUUUCGAGACCACGCAUUCUUGAAUAUGGCACGAACCUGAGAAGGAGAGGCCUGUUCAAAGGUUUAGUGAUUUAUUUAGCACCAGUGCAGGCAUGUAUCCAUCUCCGUGAAAUCAGGAGAUUCCCGAGUCUGCGCUCACACCGCAUUCAGGGAAGUGGUCUCAAGUCGGGAAAAUCCUGGCGUCACGUGCCCCACCCCUCCAGGUUCCUCAGCUCACCUGAAUCUCAAGAAUUCUUGGGCUGAGCAAGGCGGACACGAUUCUCCCAUUAAAAGCUAGGGGGGCAUGUGACCAAAAGAAGCCGUGAAAGGACGUGGCUCCCCCAGCGUGGCCAGUGGAGCUCUACCGUGUUUCCAGUGUCCACGAGUCAACGCCAGCGGGGUUUGCGAGACUGGGGAAAGUGUCUGCGAGACUCAGGGCAGCCAGCGGUGCUUCCUGAGGAAGGUCUACGAAGAUGACAGGCUCCUAUAUGGAUACCAGGGCUGUGGGGACCUGUGCCUCUCCAUGUCUUUCUUCAGACAAAGUGUCCAAGUGGAUUUUGUAUGCUGCAAUGACACCCCUUUCUGUAACAGAUUUUAGAGACUUGGCCCUUUAGCCCUUUUCUCCCAUUUAGCCCUUUUCUGUACUCCUGCAGCCUCAAAGGACGGGGCCAUCCUUCCCCAGCACUGUUCAAGCCCCGAAGCCUGCUCCCACUAAGCUACGGGUGGUGACAUUUCCACAGCUUCACCCACCAGACCAAUGCUUCCUGUUUCCCAUCGCCCCUGCUGCUCUUUUUCUCAGAUUCUGUCUCCCCCCACUUUCUCUCUCUGUACCCACAUCCCUCCUCGCUUCCCCUGUCAUUGGCUGGCAUAAAACAAGCUCUCCCUCCUCCCCCUUUUCCUUCCUCUGACAAAUAUUUUCUGACGGCUAAGCCCGGGAGUUCGAUGCUGAUUAGAGAACAGUGAAUAAAACAGACCUGAUCUCUGUCCUCAA